ensembl:lncRNA
GGAGACCCUCCAGCUCACUCAGCCUUGGGCCAGCAGUCAGGACAGAGAAUACCAUUCAUCUGGUAGAGAUUUACAGGAUCAUCAUUACCUGACUAUGACCAGACCUCAAGAAUGAAGGACCUGACACGGAGAAAUUUGCAACAACUAACCACACCCAUCUGUCACCUUUUGCUUUUAAAGGGACUUCCUGAAAGCUUUCGGUCAUUCUGAAGUUAAGUGAAGACAACAACAACAGCUGCAGCCUUUGUUGAGGUCCAGACUGCCAGCCGCUGAGCAGGCCCCAGCCACGCACUGCAUUCUGUGAGGUGAGCUCCAAACAACACCCAGCAGGAGCUGCCCAACCCAGAGAACCACCGAACUCUGGAGGCUUCUGAAUCAUGAAGGAGGGAGGCUGGAAAGAGAAGACAUUCCAGACUUGAGUGUGGCUGAAGAAGGGCAGAUGCUGGGCAGGGAUGAACAUCCAGGUUUGUAUCCUGCUUAUGCCACUUAUUAGCUGUGUCAGACCUCUCUUCAGCCUCAGCUUCCUCACCUGUCAACUUCACACAGCUGGAGAUGGGCAACUGACCAAUCAGAUGCUCUCACCGGGGGACUGGAACUCUUUAAGUGUCGUCAUGCAGGAAGGCAGUUAUAGCUGAGUCAUCCUGCGAAGGGGAAUUUCCUGGAGCAACUCCUGCUUCAUCCCUACCAGGGUCUGGUAUGAAACUCACACUUCCAGCGUCUGAGCUUGGCCGGUUUCGCCCCAUUGAGCCUCUCAUUGCAGCCAAGUAUUCCUCCUGAAGAAACAGCCUCAGGGUGUGUGGGAUGGAAGAGACUGGCUGGACCUCACCGUGUGUCUACAGUACAGAGCAAAGAGCCUUCACUCCUGCAAGCCUCCAGCCCAGUAAAGGUCUCGUGGGACAUUUUUCACAGCAGGGAAGCAUAAUCCCUGCUGUGGCCACUGUCCUCACCUCACCUUCAUCUUUCUCCCCCUUCCCCAUCAGCCUCACUCCCAAGAGCCCAAUAACCAGUCCCCAGUUGGCCGUUGGUGCUGAAACCUGUACAGAGAUCAUAGAAACAGCAUUACGGCCAAUGCUAAUGUUUAUUUUCUUGCUCCUAGUGAGAUACCAGCCUUUCCUCCACUAAAUUGCUUCACUAUGCUGUACUUGAGACAUGAAAUUUGUCUUUGGUCAUAUUUUCAUCUAGAGCAAAAACAAACUGAUGAAGACCUAGUAUAUAGCACAGGGAACUCUACUCAAUAUUCUGUAAUGGCCUUUGUGGAAAAAGAAUUUUUAAAAAAAGAGUAGGUAUAUGUAUAACUUUGCCAUAUACCUGAAACUAACAC